CGGGGCGUAGCGCAGUCUGGAAGCGCGCGCGGUUCGGGUCCGUGAGGUCCCCGGUUCAAAUCCGGGCGCCCCGA
rnacentral:tRNA from 3 species